rnacentral:rRNA from 1 species
UAGGGAAUCUUCCGCAAUGGGCGAAAGCCUGACGGAGCAACGCCGCGUGAGUGAUGAAGGUCUUCGGAUCGUAAAACUCUGUUAUUAGGGAAGAACAAGUGUGUAAGUAACUAUGCACGUCUUGACGGUACCUAAUCAGAAAGCCACGGCUAACUACGUGCCAGCAGCCGCGGUAAUACGUAGGUGGCAAGCGUUAUCCGGAAUUAUUGGGCGUAAAGCGCGCGUAGGCGGUUUUUUAAGUCUGAUGUGAAAGCCCACGGCUCAACCGUGGAGGGUCAUUGGAAACUGGAAAACUUGAGUGCAGAAGAGGAAAGUGGAAUUCCAUGUGUAGCGGUGAAAUGCGCAGAGAUAUGGAGGAACACCAGUGGCGAAGGCGACUUUCUGGUCUGUAACUGACGCUGAUGUGCGAAAGCGUGGGGAUCAAACAGG